CAGCAGCCGCGGGAAAACGUAGGGUGCAAGCGUUAAUCGGAAUUACUGGGCGUAAAGCGUGCGCAGGCGGUUUUGUAAGACAGAGGUGAAAUCCCCGGGCUCAACCUGGGAACUGCCUUUGUGACUGCAAGGCUAAAGUACGGCAGAGGGGGAUGGAAUUCCGCGUGUAGCAGUGAAAUGCGUAGAUAUGCGGAGGAACACCGAUGGCGAAGGCAAUCCCCUGGGCCUGUACUGACGCUCAUGCACGAAAGCGUGGGGAGCAAACAGGAUUAGAUACCCCUGUAGUCCCUGUCUCUUAUAC
rnacentral:rRNA from 1 species